rnacentral:rRNA from 1 species
GGGCAAGCGUUAUCCGGAUUUACUGGGUGUAAAGGGAGCGUAGACGGUAGACCAAGUGCUGAAGUGAAAGCCCGGGGCUCAACCCCGGAACUGCUUUGGAAACUGGUAAACUAGAGUGCAGGAGAGGUAAGUGGAAUUCCUAGUGUAGCGGUGAAAUGCGUAGAUAUUAGGAGGAACACCAGUGGCGAAGGCGGCUUACUGGACUGUAACUGACGUUGAGGCUCGAAAGCGUGGGGAGCAAACAGGAUUAGAUACCCUGGUAGUCCACGCCGUAAACGAUGAUUACUAGGUGUCGGGAGUUAAACUCUUCGGUUCCGCAGCAAACGCCAUAAGUAAUCCACCUGGGGAGUACGUUCGCAGAAUUAAACUCAAAGGAAUUGACGGGACCCGCACAA